UACAGAGGUCUCAAGCGUUGUUCGGAUUCAUUGGGCGUAAAGGGUGCGUAGGUGGUGAUGCAAGUCUGGUGUGAAAAUCUCGGAGCUCAACUCCGAAAUUGCACCGGAUACUGCGUGACUCGAGGACUGUAGAGGAGAUCGGAAUUCACGGUGUAGCAGUGAAAUGCGUAGAUAUCGUGAGGAAGACCAGUUGCGAAGGCGGAUCUCUGGGCAGUUCCUGACACUGAGGCACGAAGGCCCAGGGGAGCAAAACGGG
rnacentral:rRNA from 1 species